ensembl:lncRNA
CAAGAAGUAAGAGCAUUCGCAGUGAGGACAAGCCAACACUGUCCACCCAAGGUCACAGGCCCCAUGACAGCUCUCCUCACGAGACAAGUAUUGCCUGUCUCCCCUCAGAUGGCUCUGCAGGACCUGUGGAUUCUUGGAGCCACAACUGUGCCAUCAAGUGUGUGUCCUUAGUUCCUCAUGCAACCGACAAGGAGCUUCACCUCUCCGUCCUUAGCCUGCUCACCUACACUGCCCACUACCAAAGGGGCCAAGGGGUGUGACAACUAGCACCUAUGUAGCUCCCAGCACAGACCCAAACAAGGAAGGGACCCUUCUCCCUUGUCUAGUGUCAUCUGAACCUUCUCUGGCCUUCAGUGGAAGGGAUUCCAUUCAAAGCAGUGAGAGGUACAGGUGCUGGGGUCUCUGUCCCGUCCUCUGCCCUGCACCCUAGUCCUUUAAUGUCUGCCAGAUGAAUUCAGACAAGAACAGGGCAUCAUACAGGAGAAUGGCAGGUUUCUUAGAGAAACAGGGAGGCAUGCCGGAGAGUGAGGGUGGGCAUCAAAGGCCCACUGCAGACGGAAGGCCCUCAGGGUAGACGAUAGCCAGAGGGCCAGAGGCUGCGUGGUUAGGUGGGCUGGGUCCUGUGUUCCAAAGUGUCUGCACAGACAGCCUUCCUGAGAGGUGGCUUCCUGCUCAGGAGAUUGAUAGGCCACAUAGGCUGACACUUAAAGGAGGGGACGAUUGUGUGUCUUGUUCUUUCUCAGGAAGCUCCUGCCACAUCGCAUCUCACGUCCUUUUAGCGAUUGAGAAAGUCAUUUAAAGGAUCCAAAAGGAGUUUACAAGGCUGCAAAUGUCGUGCCAUUGCUUGAGUGCUUGCCUGGCUCUACAACGGCCUAGAUUUGAUCCGCAGCAGCACAGAAAGCAGGGCUGGGGUGCACACCUAUAGUCACAGCAGCCUGGUCCUUGACACAGCAGCAUGGGGACUCCCUGGGUUACGUGGGACCAGAUUCUCACGCGUGUGCAUGCAUGUGCAUGCCCAGCCCAAAUUAGGGCGGCUGAGAUGAUUCGGUGGAUAAAGCCGACCUGCAAGUUGUCAUCCGUACUCCACAGACACUCUUUCUCUGUACUGAUGGCUGCACGUGCUUUUCAUGUUGAUGGGGCUCAGUAUUUCCUGAAGGUCAAUGUCCAACAAGCCAAACCACCAACUGCAGUGUCCCCAUCUCUCCAGCCUGGCGGUGACCAGUCCUGUUAGCUGCGCUGCUCAUGUAUCACAGUGGCGAGGGGAGGACAUUGUCCUCAUGUCCUCAUCAACACAACCCUACAGCCUGGCCUUCAGGAUCAGCAGAAAGAAAGGCAGAUAAUGAACUAGGGGGCCAGUGGCCAGCAGGAUAGAAACUGCUGCCUAAGGACUUUGCUCUUUAGAACACGACAGCAAGAGUGGGCUUUUUGGUCACCUGUAGCAGAAGAAUUGCCAGUGGUACAGGACCAUGGGCCCUGGGAAGGGGUGACCUUCAAUGGGGAAAGACCUUUGACAGUUGAGAAGGCUAUGUGUGCAGGUUCCUGGCAUGUGACCUCUGCCAUCGGAAGGAGGACGCCCCCAAUGGUCUCGUGUACAGUUCAAGGACUCUAGUGACAACCACUCUGUACCUAUUUCCUGUCGUGGAAUUUCUACUGAACAAAUAAGGGCCAUGAGUCCAGGGUCCUGUGACAGGAACAGUCCUGGUUGAUCCCAGUGUGGUCCUGGGCGAUGGGUCUGGGCAUUGGGAGCUGGGCUGCAGCUCAGUGGUGGAGAGCUACAAUCUCCCAUGCAUUUCCAUGUGGGAUUCCCGAGCGUGCUCUCUAUUUCACCCCUCAGCUGGGACUUGCUGUCCAGUCCUAACCCAAGUGACCCAAUCAGCAAGUGCAUGAAGCACUCCUGGACGCUCGCCCACUCUGUGUUCUUGGGUCUUCCUGACGCACUACAGUCUCCCUGAAACUGCUCUUCCUCCUCCUGGGGAAUGUCCAGCAUCCUUCACGCAGUCCGUAUUUCCUCUCUUGCUCACAUUUCCUACUUUUCUCACCACCGAGCGUUGCACGAUCCUCCAUUCUGAUUCCCUCUGUCUCCCUGUGUAUCUCUGCCCCACUAACUCCUGCGGCAGGAGGGAAGAGGCUGAAAAGGCUGUGUUGAGAAAGAAGGCAGCUGACAAAGACGAGAAGCCUGUCCCCACCCGCUUUCAUAUGGCAGAGCUCACUCAAGAGAUGCCUAGGGGAGGAGCUGGAAAGGUGGGUCAGGGCCAGAGGACCUGGAUUCCUUUCAACCACACAGUGGCUCACAACCUUUUGAACUCUAGUCCCAGGGGAUCUGAUGCCCUCCUCUGGCCUCUGGGGUACCAGACGUGUAAUGAUGUACAGAAAUAUGUGCUGGUAAAACACUACAAACACACACACACACACACACACA